CCGGUUUGCCGGUCGAGGGGAAGUUGUAGAGGAAAAUACGGGACAAGCAGCAUCAUAUGUCCGUGAUGAAAAGCAGCAGUGGCGAUGCACGGGGCAAUAAAGUCGCAUGACAAGGUGAGGUGACAUUGUCAUGAACUGACGCUAUACAAAUAAAGUUGAGUUGUUUUGAAUAAAAAAACUAGACGUCAGCCUAUCAGCCAUCCCGUCACUUGAUUGAUACACAGGACAACCAGUCAGAUGACAUCUGAUUUUUUUCCCCGUAGAAUUAGGUCACUGUGCGUGUUCAAACAACGCCCCUGAGCGCUGCAAAGCUAACAAGCUAGUCGUUAGUUACAUCCUAAUUUUUCGCUCGUUUUUUUCCUCUUAAACGUAAGAUAGGGUAUAAAAAUGAGUGGGGGAGCUGGACCAAGUAAAAAGAAAAAAAACGAUCACUUUCAUACGGAGUGGGAGGAGGACUUUUUUUUCACGAUGACAUUUUCAAAGUGCGUUUGUCUCGUCUGCCAGUCUACCGUCGCAAUACCAAAGAAGGGAAAUGUGGAGCGGCAUUUUCGGACUCUUCAUGGAAAAUACGACACUGAAGUUGUAAGAAUCCUCAAUAUAUUUCUCAAUAAAUAUAAUGGGUAGAUCAUUUUGACUUGGUCAUUUCAAAAGUAGCUCCCAUGCUGAAAAAGUGUGAGCACCCCUGCUCUAGGGAGAACAUCAGAGGAGGGAUCCCACUCCCGGGAUGGACAGACUACAAUGGAUGCCAUGUGUACAGAAUGAACAGUGUAUAAUACAUUCAAUUCCUAUGACAGAAAUGAUUCAAGUAAUUGUGAGUAGUAAGCCAGCAGGACCACUGCAGGGGCAACCACCAUCAGAUAGAACCACCAUCCACAGAAGCCUGUGGGGAGGGAGAGCACAGAGACUAUAGGAGAGGGUAAUGUUGGUUUACGAGUACAGUAAUAUGAUUAAUAUUUCAAAUAAUAAUGAUGAUGAUGGCAGCAGCAGGCGUCAGCAGGGCCACGGCAGGUGUCAGGACCAGGGUCCAGAAGGAACUACGAUCUACGGAGACCUGCUAGGGGAGAAAGCACAAAAAACUCCCGGAAAGAAGCUGAAUUAGUCAUGUGCAUUAAUAAAACGUGAAUUAUUGGAGAACGAGAGGGUGAGAGAGGAGCUCGGUGUGUCCUAAGAAGUCCCCCGGUAGUCUAAGCCUAUAGCAGCUUAACUAAGAGCUGGUCCGGGCUAAUCUGAGCCAGCCCUAACUAUAAGCAAAAUCAAAGAGGAACGUUUUAAGCCUUACUUUAAAAGAGCUGACCAAAUCUGCCCCCCGGACUGAAAGUGGAAGCUGGUUCCACAAAAGAGGAGCUUGAUAACUGAAGGCUCUGGCACCCAUCCUACUUUCUAAAACCAUAGGAACAACAAGUAACCCAGCAUCUAUGGAGCGCAGCUGCCUUGUAGGGCAAUACGGUGUUACAAGCUCUUUAAGAUACGACUGUGCCUCACCAGUAAGUGCCUUGUAGGUGAAGAGAAGUACCUUAAAAUCUGUUCUUGAUUUAACAUGGAGCCAGUGCAGAGAAGUUAAUACAGGAUUAAUAUGAUCCCUUUUCUUAGUUUUUGUUAAUACACGUGAUAACAAAGAAUUAUAGUAAUCCAGUCUGGAAGUGACAAAUGCAUGAACUCAUUUUUCUGCAUCACUUUGAGACAGGAAGUUCCUGAUUAUAUGAUAUAUGUUAUGUAGAUGAAAAAAGGCAGUCCUUGAAGUCUUCUUUAUAUGAGAGUUGAAGGUCAUAUCCUGGUCGAAGGGAACUCUCAGAUUCCUGACAGUGCUGCUGGGUACCAGAGCAAUUCCAUUCAUAAAAACUGUAUCACGUGACAGCUGACUUCAAAGGCGCUCUGGGCCUAUUAAGAUAACUUCUGUUUUUUCUGAGUUUAGCAUCAGGAAGUUGCCGGUCAUCCAAGUUUUGAUGUCUCCAAGACAUUCUUGAAGUCUAACUAGCUGGUCCGUCUCUUCUGGUUUGAUCGACAGAUACAGUUGAGUAUCGUCUGCAUAACAAUGGAAGUGUAUGCAGUGUUUCCUGAUAAGAUCGCCCAGAGGAAGCAUAUAGAGGGUAAAUAAAAUCGGUCC
ensembl:lncRNA